rnacentral:rRNA from 1 species
GACGAACGCUGGCGGCGUGCUUAACACAUGCAAGUCGAGCGGAGCGGCGAACGGGUGAGUAACUCGUGAGUAACUGCCCCCCUCUCUGGGAAAACAGUUGGAAACGGCUGCCAAUACCGGAUAGUGGGGGAUGACUCGGGUCCUAUCGGAUUGUUGGUGGGGUAGUGGCCUACCAAGGCGACGACGGGUAGCCGGCCUGAUAGGGCGACCGGCCACAUUGGGCUGAGAUACGGCCCAAACGCCGACGGGAGGAAGCAGGGGGGAAUAUUGCACAAUGGGGGAAACCCUGAUGCAGCAACGCGCGUGCGGGAUGACGGCCUUCGGGUUGUAAACCGCUUUCAGCCAUGACGCGGUAGUGGCAGAAGAAGCACCGGCUAACUACGUGCCAGCAGCCGCGGUAAUUC